rnacentral:rRNA from 1 species
GACGAACGCUGGCGGCGUGCUUAACACAUGCAAGUCGAACGAUGACGACCGAGCUUGCUCGGUCUGAUUAGUGGCGAACGGGUGAGUAACACGUGAGCAACCUGCCCUUCACUCUGGGAUAACCUCGGGAAAUCGGGGCUAAUACCGGAUAUGAGCUCCUGUCGCAUGGCGGGUGUUGGAAAGUUUUUCGGUGAAGGAUGGGCUCGCGGCCUAUCAGUUUGUUGGUGAGGUAGUGGCUCACCAAGGCGAUGACGGGUAGCCGGCCUGAGAGGGCGACCGGCCACACUGGGACUGAGACACGGCCCAGACUCCUACGGGAGGCAGCAGUGGGGAAUAUUGUACAAUGGGCGAAAGCCUGAUGCAGCGACGCCGCGUGAGGGAUGACGGCCUUCGGGUUGUAAACCUCUUUCAGCAGGGAAGAAGCGAAAGUGACGGUACCUGCAGAAGAAGCGCCGGCUAACUACGUG